GUCCCUGUAGUACAAUGAAUACGGCGUUGGAAUUUUAAUCCAAAGGUCGUGGUUUCGAAUCCCACUUGGGAUG